rnacentral:rRNA from 1 species
GGGCCCGCACAAGCAGCGGAGCAUGUGGUUUAAUUCGAAGCAACGCGAAGAACCUUACCAGGUCUUGACAUCCAAUAAAGCCUGUAGAGAUACAGAUUGCCUUCGGGCAUAUUGAGACAGGUGGUGCAUGGUUGUCGUCAGCUCGUGUCGUGAGAUGUUGGGUUAAGUCCCGCAACGAGCGCAACCCUUACGGUUAGUUACUAACGGGUAAAGCCGAGGACUCUAGCAGGACUGCCGGGGACAACUCGGAGGAAGGUGGGGACGACGUCAAAUCAUCAUGCCCCUUAUGACCUGGGCUACACACGUGCUACAAUGGCUACAACAAAGAGGAGCAAGAGAGCAAUCUGGAGCGAAUCUCAAAAAGUAGUCUCAGUUCGGAUCGUGGGCUGCAACCCGCCGCGUGAAGUUGGAGUUGCUAGUAAUCGCGAAUCAGCAUGUCG